CAGCCGCCGCGGGAAUACAGAGGGUGCGAGCGUUAAUCGGAUUUACUGGGCGUAAAGCGUGCGUAGGCGGCUUCUUAAGUCGGAUGUGAAAUCCCUGAGCUUAACUUAGGAAUUGCAUUCGAUACUGGGAAGCUAGAGUAUGGGAGAGGAUGGUAGAAUUCCAGGUGUAGCGGUGAAAUGCGUAGAGAUCUGGAGGAAUACCGAUGGCGAAGGCAGCCAUCUGGCCUAAUACUGACGCUGAGGUACGAAAGCAUGGGGAGCAAACAGGAUUAGAGACCCCUGUAGUCCCUGUCUCUUAUAC
rnacentral:rRNA from 1 species